rnacentral:rRNA from 1 species
UCGACACAGGUAAGCUGCAUGGCUGUCGUCAGCUCGUGUCGUGAGAGUGUUGGUUAAGUCCGUAACGAGCGCAACCCUUGUCCUUAGUUACCAGCACGUUAUGGUGGGCACUCUAAGGAGACUGCCGGUGACAAACCGGAGGAAGGUGGGGAUGACGUCAAGUCAUCAUGGCCCUUACGGCCUGGGCUACACACGUGCUACAAUGGUCGGUACAAAGGGUUGCCAAGCCGCGAGGUGGAGCUAAUCCCAUAAAACCGAUCGUAGUCCGGAUCGCAGUCUGCAACUCGACUGCGUGAAGUCGGAAUCGCUAGUAAUCGUGAAUCAGAAUGUCACGGUGAAUACGUUCCCGGGCCUU